rnacentral:rRNA from 1 species
UACGAAGGGGGCUAGCGUUGCUCGGAAUUAUUGGGCGUAAAGCGCGCGUAGGCGGCUACUUAAGUCGGAUGUGAAAGCCCUUGGCUCAACUGAGGAAGUGCACCCGAAACUGAGUGGCUUAAGUACUAAAGAGGGUCGCGGAAUUCCCGGUGUAGAGGUGAAAUUCGUAGAUAUCGGGAGGAACACCGGUGGCGAAGGCGGCGACCUGGGUAGAUACUGACGCUGAGGCGCGAAAGCGUGGGGAGCAAACAGG